rnacentral:rRNA from 1 species
UACGUAGGGUGCGAGCGUUGUCCGGAAUUAUUGGGCGUAAAGAGCUUGUAGGCGGUUUGUCGCGUCUGCUGUGAAAAUCCGAGGCUCAACCUCGGACUUGCAGUGGGUACGGGCAGACUAGAGUGUGGUAGGGGAGACUGGAAUUCCUGGUGUAGCGGUGGAAUGCGCAGAUAUCAGGAGGAACACCGGUGGCGAAGGCGGGUCUCUGGGCCGACAUUGACGCUGAGGAGCGAAAGCGUGGGGAGCGAACAGG